rnacentral:rRNA from 1 species
UCCAGAGGUCUCAAGCGUUGUUCGGAUUCAUUGGGCGUAAAGAGCGUGUAGGCGGCUUGGUAGGUCCGCUGUGAAAACUCGAGGCUCAACCUCGAGAUGUCGGCGGAAACCACUUGGCUAGAGUCCGGAAGAGGAGAGUGGAAUUCCUGGUGUAGCGGUGAAAUGCGCAGAUAUCAGGAAGAACACCCGUGGCGAAGGCGGCUCUCUGGGACGGUACUGACGCUGAGACGCGAAAGCGUGGGGAGCGAACAGG